UACGUAGGGUGCGAGCGUUAAUCGGAAUUACUGGGCGUAAAGCGUGCGCAGGCGGUGAUGUAAGACCGAUGUGAAAUCCCCGGGCUUAACCUGGGAACUGCAUUGGUGACUGCAUUGCUGGAGUAUGGCAGAGGGGGGUGGAAUUCCACGUGUAGCAGUGAAAUGCGUAGAGAUGUGGAGGAACACCGAUGGCGAAGGCAGCCCCCUGGGCCAAUACUGACGCUCAUGCACGAAGCGUGG
rnacentral:rRNA from 1 species